rnacentral:rRNA from 1 species
UGGGGAAUAUUGGACAAUGGGCGAAAGCCUGAUCCAGCCAUGCCGCGUGUGUGAAGAAGGUCUUCGGAUUGUAAAGCACUUUAAGUUGGGAGGAAGGGCAGUAAGCGAAUACCUUGCUGUUUUGGCGUUACCGACAGAAUAAGCACCGGCUAACUCUGUGCCAGCAGCCGCGGUAAUACAGAGGGUGCAAGCGUUAAUCGGAAUUACUGGGCGUAAAGCGCGCGUAGGUGGUUCGUUAAGUUGAAUGUGAAAGCCCCGGGCUCAACCUGGGAACUGCAUCCAAAACUGGCGAGCUAGAGUAGGGCAGAGGGUGGUGGAAUUUCCUGUGUAGCGGUGAAAUGCGUAGAUAUAGGAAGGAACACCAGUGGCGAAGGCGACCACCUGGGCUCAUACUGACACUGAGGUGCGAAAGCGUGGGGAGCAAACAGG